rnacentral:lncRNA from 14 species
UGUUGCUCUAAGUUCCUUGUGAUUCUCAGACAAUGGAUUGCAGGAGAACACAAAGGGAAACUGGCUGUUCCUGUGGUACAUGCCAAACAUGCACUUUGCAGGGGCUAUGAAGCAUUACUUCACCAGUUUUGCUGUAGAGCAUUACUUUCCCAGGGAGCAUGGCUUCCUCCUCCUGCCCUCCCCUUUGGCUGGCUGUCAUCUUCAGAGGCACCUGGAGAGGAUAAAAAGAGCAAUCAUGGAAGUUUCCCAGUGGGAUGCAUGAGGAUAGAAGCAGUAACAAGGGGAGUUAUGGCAGCCCAGCUAAACAGGGAGGUGCAAGCCUUUGUUUGAGGCGGCAGGAGUGGACAGGAGCAGCCUGCAGCACACAGAGCUGUGGGCUUCCUCCCUCGUGUGAUGGAUGCAUAAAGGAGCCUGCUGCGGUACCCAGGUUCCUAUCACAGUCAGCUCUUCUGCGAGGCAUUUACACCACUGCCUUCAGCAUAGGUACUCCUGAUUCACCCCAAACUUAAAGCAGAAGAAAUAAUGCAAGGAGUUCUGCAGUGAUGGCCUCGCUCCAGGCUUAUGGGACAGUCCAGGAGUGAAAAUCGGGAUGUGGCCUGCAGAGGGAAGAAAAGAGCUGCAGUAGCAUCGCCACAGAUUCCCGGGGGUCUGCACUUGUGCUGUUCCUCGGGAGCAGGCUCUGAGCUGAAUAGCUUGCCUUGAAACAUUAAAUACAUUUAAAGCCCAUUCAUAUCAAAGCAAAAUUAAACUGCUGGGUUUCAUUCAGGAGUCU